GUCAAAUCGUUGAUUCGAUCGAUUUGGUUGAUUUCGUUUCGAUGUAUUUCUAUGGUAACUGUCGCCCGGGGCCCGACGAUAGAGGGCGCGUUUCUAUGGUAACUGUCGCCCGGGGCCCGACGAUAGAGGGCGCGUUUCUAUGGUAACUGUCGCCCGGGGGCCCGACGAUAGAGGACGCGUUUCUAUGGUAACUGUCGCCCGGGGGCCCGACGAUAGAGGACGCGUUUCUAUGGUAACUGUCGCCCGGGGACCGACGAUAAGAGGAUGAGGAGCAACACAGACCAUCCAAAGGGGAACCUUGUAACCAUAGCGACCAACGGCAAUCUUUGACACAUCAACAGGUUGGGGAAUUAGUCCUUCAGUUGUGGCUGUUUUUUUUUUAAAUCAGAGCUUUAAAAUGGCUCCCUAUUCUCUAUGUAGUGCACUUCUUUUGACAGGGGUCCAUAGGGUCGUAGUGCACUUCUUUUGACAGGGGUCCAUAGGGUCGUAGUGCACUUCUUUUAACAGGGGUCCAUAGGGUUGUAGUGCACUGCAAAGGGAAUAGGGUGCUAUUUCAGGAUACACUCAGAAAGACCGGGCCCUUGGUCAUCAGUAGAGUUAGCCAUCCUUAUCCCAGCCAGAAUGGCCCGUAGUCCAAAGUAGUGCACUAUAAAGGGAACAGGGAGCCAUUUUGGGACGGCAUUGUUGUGAUGUAUCAGAUGUGACUGUAGUCCAGUCCAGUCCAGACCGUGUAGAAUUCACCUAAUACAUCGGGAUUAAGCCCCUUGUUGCUGUUUCUAAGGUUACGGGGGCGUCCCAAAUGACAUCCUAUCCCCUAUAUAGGGUCCCCCCCCCCCCCCCCCCCAGUCAUGUAUUGGGUAAUACACCAACGUUUGGGCAUCACGGUUCCCUCUUCAGACCCUGAAUGACUAGGGGGUUUAUAUAAGUCAUGUUCUCUGGCUGAGCUGUUUAUUCUCUGUUAGUCAGCACCUCGACACUAAGUCAUGUUCUCUGGCUGAGCUGUUUAUUCUCUGAUAGUCAGCACCUCAACACUAAGUCAUGUUCUCUGGGUGAGCUGUUUAUUCUCUGAUAGUCAGCACCUCGACACUAAGUUUUAUCUGGGUCUAUAUUUUAAACAACUAGAGACAGACUGAAUGAGUUUUAUCUGGGUCUAUAUCUCAACUAGAGACAGACUGAAUGAGUUUUAUCUGAUGUCAGAGAUACUGUAGAACAAUCAAUAAACCAAGUCAAUUAGGGUUUUCAGACGUUAAAAACAGGUUUCUGAUUUAGUGUUAACUUGCUAACUAUUUAAAGAGAACAUUCAGUCUCUAGUUGAGAUAUAGACCCAGAUAAAACUCAUUCAGUCUGUCUCUAGUUGAGAUAUAGACCCAGAUAAAACUCAUUCAGUCUGUCUCUAGUUGAGAUAUAGACCCAGAUAAAACUCAUUCAGUCUGUCUCUAGUUGUUUAAGAUAUAGACCCAGAUAAAACUCAUUCAGUCUGUCUCUAGUUGAGAUAUAGACCCAGAUAAAACUCAUUCAGUCUGUCUCUAGUUAAGAUAUGGACCCAGAUAAAACUCAUUCAGUCUGUCUCUAGUUAAGAUAUGGACCCAGAUAAAACUCAUUCAGUCUGUCUCUAGUUAAGAUAUGGACCCAGAUAAAACUAAUUCAGUCUGUCUCUAGUUGUUUAAGAUAUGGACCCAGAUAAAACUCAUUCAGUCUGUCUCUAGUUGUUUAAGAUAUGGACCCAGAUAAAACUCAUUCAGUCUGUCUCUAGUUGUUUAAGAUAUGGACCCAGAUAAAACUCAUUCAGUCUGUCUCUAGUUGUUUAAGAUAUAGACCCAGAUAAAACUCAUUCAGUCUGUCUCUAGUUAAGAUAUAGACCCAGAUAAAACUCAUUCAGUCUGUCUCUAGUUAAGAUAUGGACCCAGAUAAAACUCAUUCAGUCUGUCUCUAGUUGAGAUAUAGACCCAGAUAAAACUCAUUCAGUCUGUCUCUAGUUAAGAUAUGGACCCAGAGGUCGACUGAUGUUUAGCACAGCUCUCGUUGAGAGACUUUUUUAAAAUCCAUUUUUAGGUUAAAAGCUAAACUGACCCAAGUUCAGUGUCUUUGGGUGUCUUCAGUGGUCGCUAACCCUGGUCUAGAAGGGCUGCAGUGUGUGUGUGUGUGUGUGUGUGUGUGCAGGCUUUUAACACACAUCAUUCAGCUAACCAAGGUCUUGAUGAUUGUGAUUAAACAUAAAAGCAGGUGUGUUAGUGCUGGGCUGGAACAGGGGACCAGGGUUGGCCAGCCUUGUCCUACAACAUGGUCUGAACAGAAGCACAUGUGAUGUGAGAUUCUUCUUCCCCAGGAGGUUUUCACUGAUCAUCGGGAGGCUAUGAUAGAAUCGGAACUCUCGUUCUAUGCACAGAAUUAGAAUUCUGUUGGUGAGAGUUCCGUUCACUCCAUUCUGGAAGCCUCUGCUGCUACACAACCCGGUUGUGUUCUGUUCUGUCACACUUCUCUUUCUCUCUCUUGUCUGCAAGAUUAUACUGUUCAUUCAAAUAUUGAAUUUAAAAAGGCAAUAUUUUAACUUGAUCAAUUACCGGAGAUGAUAUGAUGUAGAAAUUAAUAAAAGUAUUUAAACAUGUAAAA